AUUGACCGCUGGCGGCAGGCCUAACACAUGCAAGUCGAGCGAGCGGCGGCCGGGUGCGUAAUGUAUGGGCAUCUAGCUUAUGGAGGGGGAUAACUACGGGUAACUGUAGCUAAUACCGCGUACCAUAGGAUGAGCCCAAGUGGGCUUAGGUAGUUGGUGAGGUAAAGGCUGACCAAGCCGACGAUCUCUCGCUGGUCUGAGAGGAGGACCAGCUACACUGGGACUGAGACACGGCCCAGAGUCCUACGAGAGGCAGCAGUGGGGAAUAUUGCGCAAUGGGGGCAAACUGACGCAGCCAUGCCGCGUGAGUGAAGAAGGCCUUCGGGUUGUAAAGUUCUUUCGGUAGCGUGGCGUUAACUACAGAAGAAGCACCGGCUAACUCCGGGCCAGCAGCCGCGGUAAUUC
rnacentral:rRNA from 1 species